rnacentral:rRNA from 1 species
UGCUGCAUGGCUGUCGUCAGCUCGUGUCGUGAGAUGUUCGGUUAAGUCCGCUAACGAGCGCAACCCUCGUCGUGUGUUAUACGUGUCACACGAUACUGCCGGUAUCAAGCCGGAGGAAGGUGGGGAUGAUGUCAAGUCAGCAUGGCCUUUAUAUCCUGGGCUACACACACGCUACAAUGGCAGAUACAAUAGGUUGCGAAACCGCGAGGUGGAGCCAAUCCUCAAAGUCUGUCUCAGUUCAGAUUGUAGGCUGCAACUCGCCUGCAUGAAGUUGGAGUUGCUAGUAAACGCAGGUCAGCUAUACUGCGUUGAAUACGUUCCCGGGGUUU